rnacentral:misc_RNA from 1 species
AAAAUGCGAUACUUGGUGUGAAUUACAGAAUCUCGUGAACCAUCGAGUCUUUGAACGCAAGUUGCGCUCGAAGCCAUUAGGUUAAGGGCACGUCUGCCUGGGUGUCUCACGUUGCGUUGCUCGCGCCCCCUUCCCCCAAAGGGGGGAAGAAGGGCUGCGGGCGAAUGUUGGCCCCCUGGGCGUGCCCGCGACGAGUGGUGGUUUACAAACCGUUGCGUCACCUCGCGCGCGUCCGAGCCAUCUCAGGAGGCCUGCCGUGACCCUAUCGCACCGCCACCAAGGCGCUCUGAUCGCGACCCCAGGUCAGGUGGGAUUACCCGCUGAGUUUAA